CACGUAGGGCGCAAGCGUUGUCCGGAAUUACUGGGCGUAAAGCGUGCGCAGGCGGUUUUGUAAGCCAGAUGUGAAAUCCCCGGGCUCAACCUGGGAAUGGCAUUUGGGACUGCAAGGCUUGAGUGCGGCAGAGGAGACUGGAAUUCCUGGUGUAGCAGUGAAAUGCGUAGAUAUCAGGAGGAAUACCGAUGGCGAAGGCAGGUCUCUGGGCUGACACUGACGCUCAUGCACGAAAGCGUGGGGAGCAAACAGG
rnacentral:rRNA from 1 species